CCCGCGCCGGGGGGCUGCAGGUAGGGCGGGCGGGCGGUACUGCCCCCUGCCUCGCGUCACAGCGCUGCUGCAACUCCCGCCGCCUUACGUCACAGAGCUGCUCCCCCCAACGUUCGGGUGCCACCCGGAGCCCCCCAGAUGGCGGAGGGCGUGCGCGGCGGGGAGGGUGUCUAGCCCUCCUGUGGUCGCGGGCCAAUGCCCUGGAAUGACCUGAGCCCUAGGGCUGCUGCGGGGGUGUCUAGAGUGGCAGAGGCAGCUUGUGGGUGUAGCCCCAUGGCAUAGGAAAGAGGAAUGGGACAGGGAGCGGAAAGCAGAGCAGCAGGCCAGUCAGGGAGGGAGGGAAGGGGUAAGGUAGCAGGCCAGACAGGGAGCCCUAGGGCUGGAGCAGAAAGCAGGGGUGGGAGCGGAAGGAAGAGCAGGAAAGUACAGGGCAGGGAAGCCAAAAGUAGAGCAGAACAUCAGGCAGGGAUGUAGGGGCUGGGAGCACAAAGCAGAGCAGCAGAUUUCGGCAGGAAAUGUAGAUCUGAGAGUAAAAAGCAAGCAGCAGAUGAGGCAAGAAGUGCAGGUCUGGGAGCCAGAAGAGGCAGGGAGCACAGGGUGGGGAGCAGAAAGCAGAGCAGCGGAUCCGGUACAGAUCACAGGCCUGGGAGCCAGAAGCAGCGCAGCAGAUCAGUUAGAAGAAAGGGACAGGAGCAGCACGCAGGAAAGGUGCAGAGCUAAUCUGUGGCAUGCCCUGUUGACCCCCACUGUCUCUUCAUAGUGCCUGACAGGACAGCUUACUCCUUUCUGAAUCAAGGUGCUACCCUGCCCUAUCUUCCUGGCUUCAGGCUAACACAGCUACCUGCCUCUUUCUGUGCCAGCUAUCACAAGAGUUGGCACCACUGCAGCAGGCGUGCACAGAUGCAGCAGGCAGAGUUGAGAGAGCGACUUGUUGGUGCCCCAGCUCCUCUUCCAUGUCCCUUGGAGUAAAAUGGGGUUGAAUCUAUGAGAUGCUUCAAUAUUGUGACUUCAGUGGACUCCACUCCUUCAGUCUGGGACUGGAGGCCCUUGCUGAGCUCCAGGUGCUGUGGCAAGAUUGGCACUAAUAUCUGAAUGAGUUAAUUUAGUGCUAGUUCAGUUAUCCCUACACUAGGCUGCAGUCAUUUCUGUUAUUUGAUCCAUGCCCACAGAGGAGGAGGGUAAAAUGGGACUGUUUCCAAAUGUAUAUGUGCUAUAAAGUUGUGUUAUGGAUUAGAAAGCUGUAUGUAAGUGUGUUGCAGAACUCACAGUGGCAAGUGCUACUAGGUGAGCUUUCUAUUCUAGCUACAGAUUUAAUCUGAUUACAGUUUAGCCCCAAAAUAUUUUAAAAAAUGAAAAUACGUCAUGCUUGGUUUCCUAUUUGGAGGUGAAUUUGCUUACACUCAAUUGGAGCUGUGACAUUUUCGGAGUUUUGUCGAAGGAGUCAUUCCCCGUGUGUGCAGGGGCCUUUUCCAGCUACGGUUAGUGUACUGCACCAACCUAACAACUUGAGCAUAGUACCACUUGCUGCUGAAAAAGUGGAAUGUCUCUGUGCCAUGCCAUUCCAUAGUGCUAGGGAUGUGAGCUGAGUAUGCAGUGCUCCAGCAAUUUUUAGCUGCUGCAACAACUUGAGUGAAUUGAGGGGGGCAAUACACAGUGCCAAGCUGGGUAGCACAAAGCUAGCUUUCCAUUCAUGCACUAAGCAAAGUUUGGCUGGUCUGGAGAACUGGACCCUCUGCCUAUAAAAAUAAAAAUACCUCCUAAUAUUUGGAAGCCCAAAACAACACUGCUUAAAGUAAAGAUAGAUUUUCCUUAGCUCAAUAAUGACCCUAACUAUUAAAGAACAAAAAGUUAUCUUUCUUCCCGAAAUGGACUUUUGCACCAAAAAAUUAAAAAAGCCUUUAUUAAAUCCUUUUCUUUGUUGGUCCUUUUCAGAUAUUUAACAAUUUUCACAUCAGGCUUUGCAAUUAUGUAUUUUGCCUUAGUGCACUUAUGCAUUAUGCAUCUUUAAUCUAGCUAUUGUAUUAGUAAAAUUGUACUUUCAUUCUAAGACCCUAUUUAAGUGGCUUAUAGUUUUAUAAAGGUAUGUUUGGUGGAUGUUUUUAAGUUCAGAGGUAAAGUGUGUGUGUGUGUGUGAGAGAGAGCUUAAAGAAAAUCUAAAAAAUUAUCUAGUGCUUUUGACGACAGGAUUGUCAAAUAGAUACAAAUAGAUACAAAUGCAUUUAACAUAAUCAUAAUGUCAAGCUUUAACAUGGAUUCCAUAAAACAUUUCUAAUUA